rnacentral:lncRNA from 1 species
UUCAACAGCCCUCUGAGAGGAGUAUAUGUAUGACUUUUGUCUGUCUUCCAGUAGUCUAUGACGUUAAUUUCCGGGCCACAAGUACAUUUCUUAUUCCUUGAUCAGGUGAGCUGUGUCAGUCAGUGCAAAGGUGAAAGUUGUUCCAUGUAAAACCUGGACAAACGCACAAGGCAUUAAGUCGCCACCGGGAAGUCUCAAACCAAAAUCUAAAGCAAACCUUUUCCAUUAAAGAGACUAUGAUCUAGAAUGCGCCAACAACGGGCUCCAACGACGCGUGUGGUGGCAAAUACUUGCAAGUCUACAACCUGAAGAAAAAACUAAAAAACCAGACGCUCGACGAGGAGAAAGAAAAAGCGCUGUAACUACCAACCUGGACAGUCGCUCUGAGACCAAACGCCUUGAUAGCAGCAAGAAUAUUUCUGGAUAAUCAUCUCCUUUGAUGC